rnacentral:rRNA from 1 species
AUGGCGACGAUAGUGAACACCACGGAGGAGGAGCCGAUGCUGGCGGUGGUGCGCUCCACCGCGCAGCUCGCCUGGGCCGACGCGGGCCCGGAGGUCGCCGACCCUGAGGUGGCCCGCCUCUGA